rnacentral:rRNA from 1 species
UACAGAGGUCUCAAGCGUUGUUCGGAUUCAUUGGGCGUAAAGGGUGCGUAGGUGGCGCGCUAAGUCAGGUGUGAAAUUUCGGAGCUUAACUCCGAAACUGCAUUUGAUACUGGCGUGCUUGAGGACUGGAGAGGAGACUGGAAUUUACGGUGUAGCGGUGAAAUGCGUAGAUAUCUGGAGGAACACCGGUGGCGAAGGCGGCAUCCUGGACCGGCAUUGACGCUGAGGCGCGAAAGCCAGGGGAGCAAACGGG